GAUGAACGCUGGCGGCGUGCCUAACACAUGCAAGUCGAGCGAAGCGCUUAAGUCAGAAUCUUCGGAGGAAGGCUUUUGUGACUGAGCGGCGGACGGGUGAGUAACGCGUGGGUAACCUGCCUUACACAGGGGGAUAACAGUUAGAAAUGACUGCUAAUACCGCAUAAGACCACAGUACUGCAUGGUACAGUGGUAAAAACUGAGGUGGUGUAAGAUGGACCCGCGUCUGAUUAGGUAGUUGGUGGGGUAACGGCUCACCAAGCCGACGAUCAGUAGCCGGCCUGAGAGGGUGGACGGCCACAUUGGGACUGAGACACGGCCCAG
rnacentral:rRNA from 1 species